rnacentral:lncRNA from 1 species
UUCAGCAGUCAUGAAGGAGAGAAAUCAGUAUAAGAAGAUUAUUGAACUCUCCACAGAAGGAGGACUGAAGAUAACUGAUCCUGCAGAUUUGAAGAAGGAGAUCAGGGAUUUCUAUAAAUCACUAAUGGGAACUACAGCCGAUUCCCUGCCAGCUGUGAAUAAAUUGAUUAUGAGGAAUGGCCCAAAACUUUCUCAUCACCAAAGGAAGGAUCUAGCUGCUGACAUUAGUGACACAGAGAUACUAGACAGCUUGAAGGCUAUUGGAAAUGAUAAAGCUCCAGGGAUUGAUGGAUUUAAUGCCAUGUUCUUCAAACACUCUUGGCAUAUCAUUGGCAACCAGGUUAUGCAAGCAAUCAAGAAUUUCUUUCAGACCUCCAAGAUGUACAGACCUACUAAUUGUGCCACACUCACUUUGCUUCCCGGUUAUGCAAGCAAUCAAGAAUUUCUUUCAGACCUCCAAGAUGUACAGACCUAUUAAUUGUGCCACACUCACUUUGCUUCCCAAGGUAUCCAAUCCUCAGACAGUUAAAGAGUUCAGACCUAUAGCUUGUUGUUCAGUCUUGUAUAAUAUUAUUUCCAAGUUGUUGGCCAACAGACUCCAGAAGGUUAUGAGUAGUAUCAUUUGUAAUGCANNN